AAAAGCUCGUAGUUGGAUCUCAGCUAGGCACGGACGGUCCGCCUACCGGUGGUUACUGUUCGCAGCCAGCGUUCAGUCAGUUUCUCCUGAUGAUCUUUACCGGUUGUCUAGAGUGACUGACAAGUUUACUUUGAAAAAAUUAGAGUGCUCAAAGCAGGCGCGACGCCUGAAUAAUUGUGCAUGGAAUAAUGGAAUAGGACCUCGGUUCUAUUUUGUUGGUUUUCGGAACACGAGGUAAUGAUUAAGAGGGACAGACGGGGGCAUUCGUAUUGCGACGCUAGAGGUGAAAUUCUUGGACCGUCGCAAGACGAACUACUGCGAAAGCAUUUGCCAAGAAUGUUUCCAUUAAUCAAGAACGAAAGUUAGAGGCUCGAAGGCGAUCAGAUACCGCCCUAGUUCUAACCAUAAACGAUGCCAGCCAGCGAUCCGGCUGUGUUCCUCAAAUGACACGCCGGGCAGCUUCCGGGAAACCAAAGCUUUUGGGUUCCGGGGGAAGUAUGGUUGCAAAGCUGAAACUUAAAGGAAUUGACGGAAGGGCACCACCAGAAAUGGAGCCUGCGGCUUAAUUUGACUCAACACGCGAAAGCCUACCCGGUCCGGACACAGGAAGGAUUGACAGAUUAAGAGCUCUUUCUUGAUUCUGUGGGUGGUGGUGCAUGGUCGUUCUUAGUUGGUGGGGCGACUUGUCUGGUUAAUUCCGAUAACGAACGAGACUCUAGCCUACUAAAUAGACGUUCCGAUCCUCUUUCGUCGGACGUUCUUCUUAGAGGGACAAGCGGCGUUUAGCCGCACGAGACAGAGCAAUAACAGGUCUGGGAUGCCCUUAGAUGUCCGGGGCCGCACGCGCGCUACAUUGAAGGAAUCAGCGUGUUUUUUCCCUGUCCGAAAGGACUGGGUAACCCGUUGAACCUCCUUCGUGCUGGGGAUAGGAGAAUGUAAUUGCCUCCUUGAACGAGGAAUUCCCAGUAAGCACGAGUCAUUAGCUCGUGUUGAUUACGUCCCUGCCCUUUGUGCACACCGCCCGUCGCUACUACCGAUUGAAUGAUUUAGUGAGGUCUUCGGACUGGCGCUCGGAUUGGCCUUGGUCGAGCCGAAGUGCCGGAAAGAUGACCAAACUUGAUCAUUUAGAGGAAGUAAAAGUCGUAACAAGGUUUU
rnacentral:rRNA from 1 species